rnacentral:lncRNA from 1 species
UUGUACUAAAUGAGCCCUAAAGCAAAAAACCUCCUCCUCCACAAUCUGUGUUGAAUGCCCGGAGACUGACCCAGGUUGCUUUCAAGGUAAGCUCUUCUCUGGGCCUGUUUCUGUUCUUUCAGAAGCUCUGAGGGAUCCUGAUGGGAUUAUGAUCAGCUGGUGUGGGCGGAAUGAUCCCUGAGCCAAAAAAAAAAAGAAGAAAAAAAAAGCAACCUCCUCCUCCCCAAUCUGUGUUGAAUGCAAGGAGACUGGCCCAGGUUAUUUUCAAGGACACUCAUCUACUGUGACAAAGUUGUUACAAAAGAGACACUAUGGCUUCAAUGGGAGUUUUCCGUAAAAAUCAGCUCAGUCACCAGCUGGGAAAGGCCAAAAAGAAAAAAAGUACCAGAGGCUCCAGGUGGAAAUACUUACUACCUUAAAAAUAAUUAUUAUCACCUAAAUCCUGCCCUGGCAGGGCUAUAUCUGUGUGUUAAAGUGAAGCAGCAGCAUAUUUCCUUUGGUAGAGGUCAAGAAACUCAAGGAAAUGAAUAGCUGGUCCUGACCUAGGGUUGCCUGUUAACUCAGCAGGAGGAAAAGUAAAAGCCUUUCUUGAAGGUAAAAAUAUAGCUUUAUUUUUAUCAUUCCUUGUUGUAAAUGGUUCAUAUAAGCUAUUUUGACAUCCUGACAUCUGACACACUGUCUUGCCUUGACUUUUAAUAAUCACAUAUGCUCUAACUCUAUAUUGCUUGACUUCUAAAUCUCAGUUCUUAGUCACUUAUUUCUGAGUAUUCUUUGUUUCUAGCCCACUUACGUGCUUGCUUCUUUCUUCACAAGAUUGCCUUUGUUCAUUUGAUCCUGUAUCUCUAUCCUUUUCCUGAAAAACAGUGGUUAUCAUCAUCAUUUCCUGUGGCUAUUCAAGUUUUCACAACCACUUCAUUGCCCAGAGAACUGUAGCAUCAUAGAAGCAUAGGUAUACAACUGGAU